CUUAGAAGUCAAGCAAUCAUGUCGCUGACUAAAAUUAUUGUUGUAAUCGUCUUUCUUAGCGCAUAUUCAAACACCCUCAAUUGUGCCGACAUAGCGCCAUCUAGCGGUGCCUUAAAUUCGCCUACAGCUUUAGCAACUCAGUAUGAGAAAGGCAAGGGACGCAGGAAGCGAAACGCGUUCAACCUGUACUAUAUGAUUCGAGAAUGCACUAGAUGUAGUGCGUGGGAUUUGUUGGGUUACGGAACCUACUGUGGAUUCGGCGGGGCUGGUACACCGGUAGACGAUAUUGACAGAUGCUGUCAAAAGCACGACCACUGCUACGACGAUGUUAUAAAGCGCCACGACUGUUGGCGCGUCAAUAUCUACAUAAUGCCUUACGAUUGGAAAGUCUACGACGGGUCACCCUACUGCGGCGAUGAAACCAAUCGGUGUAGGAGGGGGAUAUGCCAAUGCGAUAAGGAGAUGACAGAGUGUUUGAAUAGGAUUGGGUGCCCCUAAUGUGACUCUAGAUGGUUUAAAAAAAACAAUAUAUUUUCGAAUAAAAUGAACUCAUUCGCACAACUCACACGGAUCGUGUAUAGAAUUCUAAGUUGGCAAUACCAUAUUAUAUUUAGAAAUAUUGUCGCCUAUACCAGUGGGGAGACACUCCUCCUUUCGGGCAUUCUCGGCUCCUUUCGGCUCAGCAUUGCUCCGAGCAAUUCUUAGGGUUGACACAACUUGAAGUCCCUUUGCGUGCACGACCAUCACAGAUAAGAUAAUGACUCGAAUUUUGACAACCCUAAAUAGCCGAAAGGGAUAAAGCCAUUAGAAAGAGAUAGCAUGAUUCGUCCCUGAAUCGCUGUCAAACUUCGGUUUUGUAGGAAGUGUCCUUUCUUUAGGGUAGUACGUGGGCCAUACUGAAAGUUUCUGGAUUCUGAUAUAUGAGAUGACUUAUUUUUUCUAAGUGGCCAGUCCAGGAAUUUUCAGUAUGCCCUAAGUACUAUUAUUUUUUCUGUGCCUAUACUAUUUUUACUUGUAUAUUAUAUGUGACUUAGUUCAUUUACCAUU